GAGGGAUCAUUACUGAGUUUACGCUCUACAACCCUUUGUGAACAUACCUAUAACUGUUGCUUCGGCGGGUAGGGUCUCCGUGACCCUCCCGGCCUCCCGCCCCCGGGCGGGUCGGCGCCCGCCGGAGGAUAACCAAACUCUGAUUUAACGACGUUUCUUCUGAGUGGUACAAGCAAAUAAUCAAAACUUUUAACAACGGAUCUCUUGGUUCUGGCAUCGAUGAAGAACGCAGCGAAAUGCGAUAAGUAAUGUGAAUUGCAGAAUUCAGUGAAUCAUCGAAUCUUUGAACGCACAUUGCGCCCGCCAGCAUUCUGGCGGGCAUGCCUGUUCGAGCGUCAUUUCAACCCUCAAGCUCUGCUUGGUGUUGGGGCCCUACAGCUGAUGUAGGCCCUCAAAGGUAGUGGCGGACCCUCCCGGAGCCUCCUUUGCGUAGUAACUUUACGUCUCGCACUGGGAUCCGGAGGGACUCUUGCCGUAAAACCCCCAAUUUUCCAAAGGUUGACCUCGGAUCAGGUAGGAAUACCCGCUGAACUUAAGCAUAUCAAUAA
rnacentral:rRNA from 1 species